rnacentral:rRNA from 1 species
CCUACGGGUGGCAGCAGUGAGGAAUAUUGGUCAAUGGGCGCGAGCCUGAACCAGCCAAGUAGCGUGAAGGAUGACUGCCCUACGGGUUGUAAACUUCUUUUAUAAAGGAGUAAAGUGAGGCACGUGUGCCUUUUUGUAUGUACUUUAUGAAUAAGGCUCGGCUAACUCCGUGCCAGUAGCCGCGGUAAUACGGGGGUUCCGAGCGUUAUCCGGAUUUAUUGGGGUUAAAGGGAGCGUAGAUGGGUGGUUAAGUCAGUUGUGAAAGUUUGGGGGUCAACCGUAAAAUUGCAAUUGAUACUGGCAGUCUUGAGUACAGGAGAGGUAGGCGGAAUGCGUGGUGUAGCGGUGAAAUGCUUAGAUAUCACGAAGAACUCCGAUUGCGAAGGCAGCUUACUAAACUGCCACUGACAUUGAUGCUCGAAAGUGUGGGUAUCAAACAGGAUUAGAGACCCCAGUAGUC